CAACAAAUCGCAGUCUACCAU
rnacentral:miRNA from 1 species